rnacentral:rRNA from 1 species
GACGAACGCUAGCGGCGUGCUUAACACAUGCAAGUCGAACGGUAAGGCCCUUCGGGGUACACGAGUGGCGAACGGGUGAGUAACACGUGGGUGAUCUGCCCUGCACUUCGGGAUAAGCCUGGGAAACUGGGUCUAAUACCGGAUAGGACCACUGCCUGCAUGGGUGGGGGUGGAAAGCUUUUGCGGUCGUGGGAUGGGCCCGCGGCCUAUCAGCUUGUUGGUGGGGUGAUGGCCUACCAAGGCGACGACGGGUAGCCGGCCUCAGAGGGUGACCGGUCAGACGGGGGAUGAGGGACUGCCCAGAUUUACAGAGGGGGCGUCAGUGGGGAAUAUUGCAUGAGGGACGCGAGCCUGAUGCGGCGACGCCGCGUGAGGGAUGACGGCCUUCGGGCUGUAAACCUCUUUCAGCAUCGACGAAGAGAAAGUGACGUUAGGUGCAGAAGAAGGACCGGCCAACUACGUGCCAGCCGCCGCCGUAC